AAUAGAUACCCUGGUAGUCCACGCCGUAAACGAUGAGUGCUAAGUGUUAGAGGGUUUCCGCCCUUUAGUGCUGCAGCAAACGCAUUAAGCACUCCGCCUGGGGAGUACGGUCGCAAGACUGAAACUCAAAGGAAUUGACGGGGGCCCGCACAAGCGGUGGAGCAUGUGGUUUAAUUCGAAGCAACGCGAAGAACCUUACCAGGUCUUGACAUCCUUAUGCCAUCCCUAGAGAUAGGGCUUUCCCUUCGGGGACAUAAGUGACAGGUGGUGCAUGGUUGUCGUCAGCUCGUGUCGUGAGAUGUUGGGUUAAGUCCCGCAACGAGCGCAACCCUUGAUCUUAGUUGCCAGCAUUCAGUUGGGCACUCUAAGGUGACUGCCGGUGACAAACCGGAGGAAGGUGGGGAUGACGUCAAAUCAUCAUGCCCCUUAUGACCUGGGCUACACACGUGCUACAAUGGAUGGUACAAAGGGCAGCAAAACCGCGAGGUUAAGCAAAUCCCAUAAAACCAUUCUCAGUUCGGAUUGCAGG
rnacentral:rRNA from 1 species